ACUCAGUGAAAUUGAACUCGCUGUGAAGAUGCAGUGUACCCGCGGCAAGACGGAAAGACCCCGUGAACCUUUACUAUAGCUUGACACUGAACAUUGAGCCUUGAUGUGUAGGAUAGGUGGGAGGCUUUGAAGUGUGGACGCCAGUCUGCAUGGAGCCGACCUUGAAAUACCACCCUUUAAUGUUUGAUGUUCUAACGUGGACCCGUAAUCCGGGUUGCGGACAGUGUCUGGUGGGUAGUUUGACUGGGGCGGUCUCCUCCUAAAGAGUAACGGAGGAGCACGAAGGUUGGCUAAUCCUGGUCGGACAUCAGGAGGUUAGUGCAAUGGCAUAAGC
rnacentral:rRNA from 1 species